rnacentral:rRNA from 1 species
GAUCCCGGCUCAGGACGAACGCUGGCGGCGUGCCUAACACAUGCAAGUCGAGCGGGGAAUAUUGAGCAGCUUGCUGCUUGGUAUUUCUAGCGGCGGACGGGUGAGUAACGCGUGAGCAACCUGCCUUUAUCAGGGGGAUAACGCAUCGAAAGAUGUGCUAAUACCGCGUAAGACCACAGCUUCACAUGGAGCAGGGGGUCAAAGGAGCAAUCCGGAUAAAGAUGGGCUCGCG